CCUACGGGGGGCAGCAGUGGGGAAUCUUGCACAAUGGACGAAAGUCUGAUGCAGCAACGCCGCGUGAGUGAGGAAGGGUUUCGGCCUGUAAAACUCUGUCAGGGUGGAAAAAUGAUAAGUGGUCUACUAGGCCAUUUAAGUGAUGGUACACCCAAAGGAAGCACCGGCUAACUUCGUGCCAGCAGCCGCGGUAAUACGAAGGGUGCAAGCGUUGUUCGGAAUUAUUGGGCGUAAAGCGCGCGCAGGCGGGUCAGCAAGUCAGNUGUGAAAUCUCGGGGCUUAACCCCGAAACUGCGUCUGAAACUACUAACCUAGAAUAUCGGAGAGGAAGAUGGAAUUUCGCAUGUAGGGGUAAAAUCCGUAGAGAUGCGAAGGAACACCAGAGGCGAAAGCGAUUUUCUGGACGAUUAUUGACGCUGAGGCGCGAAAGCGUGGGGAGCAAACAGGAUUAGAUACCCUAGUANUC
rnacentral:rRNA from 1 species